rnacentral:rRNA from 1 species
UAGGCUGAAACUCGCCUACAUGAAGCUGGAAUUGCUAGUAAUCACAGGUCAGCAUACUGUGGUGAAUACGUUCCCGGGCCUUGUACACACCGCCCGUCACACCAUGAGAGUUGAGAAUACCCGAAGCCCAUGUCAAAGUGGUCGAAGGUAGGCUUGAUGAUUGGGUGAAGUCGUAACAAGGUAGC